CAUACCAUAUGUCAGAAUAAUCAUACAGUUUCACUGUAGAUAGUUUUUUUGUUACAACGAGUCAGCGAUACACUGAAGUGUAUCAGAUUUCAAUGUACAGUUUCAUUUAUAAACCUGUUGCUGGGAGUAUAAAAUAUGUAUACAUGUUUAAAGGUCAAAUCGUUUAAGCUAGCAAAUAUGCGCGUUUUGAGAGAGAUUUUACAUCAGUUAGGAGAGACACGCUGAUAGUGUGUAGCGGUUAUUUUUUAUUGGGAAGAGAAUUUUGUAGUUUUGAAGAGAAUUUUGUUGUUUUGAAGUCAGUUUUGUUGGUUUGUUGAAGUGGUUGAAUAUAAUUGUGGUGAUCUUAAUUGAUCAGGGUUUAUUGGUUGUAAUUAGUUGUUUUGGUUGUUGAGUUAUUUCUAUUUGUGAAGAUAUAAUUGGUUGAUAUUGGUUGAAUGUUUGGUAUUGUCAAGAUUAUAUUAGUUGCUGCUUUGUUUUGAGGAUAUAUGUAAAUAUUGGUUGCUUUAGUUUAAGUUGUUUUCUGAUGCUGAUUAGAUUGUGUGAAGUUAAUAUUGUUGGAUGAAUGUUUGCGGUUUAUACUGUAUCUUAGAGUUGUAAAAAUAUUCAUUUUUGUGUUCUUCAUUUUGUGGUGAUUUUAUUGUUUUGUUAAUCAUAAGUUGUUUAGAGCUUGGGCUCGCCAGGUGUCUUGUUUUGUUUCGUAUAAAAGACGUAUACGUGGAAAGAUAUUUCGUAUAAGUGGCUGAUAAAUGAUGUUUGUUUGUUUUGGGUGUAAAUAAUGAUCACAGUUCUGUGUUUUGGGUGUAAAUAAUAGUCAGAGUUUGUUGUUUACAUGUAUAUAUUGAUUUGAGAUAGAAAAAGAUAAAAAUACCUAAAAAAGAUAGUGUUAACUAAACAAUUACAUGCUAGUUUUCCAACUGAGAAUAUUUCACUUUUAUGUCAGGCGGUGCUGCCCAGCCUCCAUAUCUUGGAAAUUGGUUCAAGUAUUUAUUACUAAAUCUUUUCUUAGAUUAAAUAACAUCAAGGCAGACAUUUCUCCUGACACCCAAUUGCAAAUUCUGCCGAAAAAGCAAACUACUGUUCUACCCGCAACCCGCUGUUCUACUCGUAACUGGUUAACGGGUGUGUUAUUACGGGUAAAUAAUCAGUAUGAUCGAUACGUUAUAAAUAGAGAGCGUAAUGUAACAUUGUGAAACAUACACACAUGGAUGACAAGUUUUUAUUUACAUUUUUGUUGUUUGUGGGAUUUACAAGUACAUUCGGGUCAUACUGCCGCCAAUAUGAAUCACAGAUGGAUGAAGAUGCAUUUUGGUGUGAAAGAGGCUGUUGUGGAACCUUUGGGACCAAGUACUGUUGUGACGUUGACGGCAUCAGGAAAAUCUUCUUUCUUUCUUUUUACUAAAAACAUAUGUAUAUGAUAAAAUGUUUUGCUGUGAUUAGAUGUUACAGAAGUCUAGUUAGAAAUUUUAUUACACAUAACCUUUUUGUUGUGGUUCUAGAAAACGCUAUUUCUGAAAUGUUUUAAUUAUGCCAGUAAUGUAAUAUCUUCAAAAUGGGAUCUGAUUGCAAUCGGAAGAUAUUUGAAAAUGGAAUAUAUAAAUUAUAAUUAUUUUAUUAUUAUACAUAAUUAUAUAAUUAAUACUAUAACACGUUUGUAACGUCGCUUUUCAUUGGAUAAUCGUGGCUCGGUUAUAUAUUUCCAAACAACCGUUAAUAUAUAACCUGUCUAAAAUCUAUAUUAAGGAAAAAAGACAUACGAGACGGUUUUACGUAACAAAAUUAUUUGUUUCAUUUUUUUAAGGGAAGGAGUUAUUGCUGCCAUUGUUAUAAGCUUGGUUAUUUUAGCCGUCAUUGUUGCAUCUAUAGUGGUGGCCUGGUGCUGCUGUUGUCGGAAAACAAGAGGACAGAUUGGACGGGUGUGCCAACCGGCUACAGCUCAAACAGCUACAAUUCAAAUGCACAGUUCGCUGCCAUACGGUCAGAUUGGCCGUAACGGUACCGAUAACACUCCUGUUACACUAAUGACGUCGAAUGUGACGCCAGGAACAACGCAACAGUGGCAACAACUUGUACCUCCGCAAAAGUACGAGGGCUUGGCUCAAAAACAAUAAGAAAAAGAUAUGUGUGAUUAAUGUAAAUAUAUGUAUCUAACAGUGUUCAUGAAAUUUCUAAAUUCGGUAGCGGGAUAUUUUUUUAAGAUUUCCUUUUGUAAAUGUUAAUAUUGUGAAUAACUAAAUGCGGUCUUACUAUGAAAUAAGUACGUCACAUGUAUACUCUGAUAAAUAACGUGAAACAAAGGGGAAAAGAAAAACUUUAAAAAAUGGUGAAAAGAAAACUUAAAAAACAACAACAACAAAAACAUUUGUUGAUUCAAAGGGAGGAAAGAAGGUGUUUGGUUCGUUUUCAAAUGAACAGUAUAUUAACAAAAUUGAUGCAAUACACUAUUUUUGCAACAACUAAACCAACAAAACAUGGCGGUUUUAUUCUUGCUCAUGUCUCUUUAUACAAUAUCAUUAUAUACUGUGUGUUGUUUAACAAAUUAAUUUGUUUUGACUAUUAAUGUUGAUUAAACUUUUUAAAUCAGAAAAUUGUUGAACCCCUUUUUAGUAUUUUGAAACCACGAGAAGCCGGCUUUUAGGACAAGAAAGAAAAAGAAUGUAGUUUGUAGAAUUAUGAUGCCAGAAGUAGGACCUGGUGACUUUUAUAUGUUAAGCCGUUGCAUUUUUUUCACAACUUAACAGUUUUAAAUGAUAGAAAGGAGACGUGUUGAUUUUUUUUUUCAAAAGAAAGUUACAUCUUACUUUAUAAUAAACAAAAAUGUCCGUUUUCUUCAAGUACCUUUUGAAAAGACAUAAAACGUUAUUGUAUAUAUUUUUCGAUAAAAACUUUGGCAAAAUGAGUUAUUUUUCUAAUAAAAAAUCAUUAUAAUUUAUAAGUAAAUACCCAUAAAGAUAAUAACAUGCAGAUUAUGACAUGUCUAAAUAUAGAUAAGCAUAAUUCAAACUUGAACAGAAAAGCAAACAAACUGGCAAACAUGGUGGACAAGAUUUUAAUUACGUUUAUUUUGUUUUCCGGAUUUUCAGGUACAUUAUCGACAUCAACAAACCCGUUUGGUGAUGGUUAUCUUUAUUUUAUCAUAGGCGUAGUAGUUUUUGGCGUCAUAAUUGUGGCAGUAGUAGUGGCGGUCAUCUGUUACUGUUGCUGUUGCCGAAAACCAGGCGGAUACGCCGGCCAGGUCUUCCAACCGGCUGCAUUCCAGACAGCUACAAUUCAAUAUCACAGUCCGCUGCCAUACGGUCAGGUUGGCUAUAACGGUACCGUCAACAUGCCGGAUACAAUUUUGACGUCAAACAUGACGCAAGGAACAACACAACAAUGGCAACAAUCGGCGGAUCCACCAAACUACGAACAAGUUGUUGAAAAACAAUGAAAAAGAGGUGAUGAAAGAAGUAUGAACUUCAUCUGAUAGUGAUUUAUGUUAGAAUUUCCCAUAUCGAACUAUAUUUUUGCUCGGAUUUACUUUUUGUUUUGUUUGUUUAUGUUUUGUGUUACUUGAUAAGUUGUCACUAUCAAUUAAAUAAGUUUCAUUAUGAUAAUUGAAGCAAAGACAAUUAUGUUAUACGAUUUAAAACCAAAUGCAUGGUAAAAUGAAAAAUAAGAGAUAACAUGGUUUGUUUUAAUACAGAAUCAAAAAAAAAGUGAA